rnacentral:lncRNA from 1 species
UUUUGGAAGGUUUUGAACGUCGGGAAACUCAGGUCCGUUGAGUUGCAAAGGUGGCCGGACUAUCGUAGGUUUUUCCGGCGAAUUUUCGGUGGAUUUAAGACUUAAGAGUGGUAAGGUUUUGUUCCUCUCAUCUCAAGCUUCAUUUUGUUAUAUAAUUCAUGAAUUUUAGUUGAGAAAUGAAGAAGAUAUGAAGUUUUAAAGAUUUUUCCAGAAACCGGUGAUCGCAGCUGCACCGACGAACCACAUAUGCUGAUUUUUAAUGGAAUAUCCCCUAACGCCGUUAGGGAAUCCGUUUGGUGUGCCAGGCACGUGCCUGUGCGUGGGCCGCGC